rnacentral:rRNA from 1 species
UGGGGAAUAUUGGACAAUGGGCGAAAGCCUGAUCCAGCCAUGCCGCGUGUGUGAAGAAGGUCUUCGGAUUGUAAAGCACUUUAAGUUGGGAGGAAGGGCAGUUACCUAAUACGUAUCUGUUUUGACGUUACCGACAGAAUAAGCACCGGCUAACUCUGUGCCAGCAGCCGCGGUAAUACAGAGGGUGCAAGCGUUAAUCGGAAUUACUGGGCGUAAAGCGCGCGUAGGUGGUUUGUUAAGUUGGAUGUGAAAUCCCCGGGCUCAACCUGGGAACUGCAUUCAAAACUGACAAGCUAGAGUAUGGUAGAGGGUGGUGGAAUUUCCUGUGUAGCGGUGAAAUGCGUAGAUAUAGGAAGGAACACCAGUGGCGAAGGCGACCACCUGGGCUGACACUGACGCUGAGGCGCGAAAGCCAGGGGAGCAAACGGGAUUAGAUACCCCCGUAGUCCCUGAGCGGGCUGGCAAGGCGCAU